rnacentral:rRNA from 1 species
CACGUCGAACGGCAGCACAGAGUAGCUUCUCUUGGGUGGCGAGUGGGGACGGGUGAUGUAUACAUCGGAAUCUACUCUGUCGUGGGGUACAACGUAGGGAAACUUACGCUAAUACCGCAUACGACCUACGGGUGAAAGCAGGGGACCUUCGGCCCUUGCGCGAUUGAAUGAGCCGAUGUCGGAUUAGCUAGUUGGCGGGGUAAAGGCCCACCAAGGCGACGAUCCGUAGCUGGUCUGAGAGGAUGAUCAGCCACACUGGAACUGAGACACGGUCCAGACUCCUACGGGAGGCAGCAGUUGGGAAUAUUGGACAAUGGGCGCAAGCCUGAUCCAGCCUUACCGGGGGGUGAAUGAGGGCUUUCGGGUUGUAAUGCCCUUUUGUAAAAAAAGAAAGCUGUGGCUUAAUACCGGGUGGGAAUGCGGGUACCAAAGGAAUAGGCACGGGCUACCUUCGGGCCAGCGGCUCGGUAAUAGGAGGGGCAAGCUUAUU